CCUACGGGUGGCAGCAGUGGGGAAUAUUGGACAAUGGGCGAAAGCCUGAUCCAGCCAUGCCGCGUGUGUGAAGAAGGCCUUCGGGUUGUAAAGCACUUUCAGUGGGGAAGAAAGCCUUGGGGCUAAUACCCUCGAGGAAGGACAUCACCCACAGAAGAAGCACCGGCUAACUCCGUGCCAGCAGCCGCGGUAAUACGGAGGGUGCGAGCGUUAAUCGGAAUUACUGGGCGUAAAGCGCGCGUAGGCGGUCUGAUAAGCCGGUUGUGAAAGCCCCGGGCUCAACCUGGGAACGGCAUCCGGAACUGUCAGGCUAGAGUGCAGGAGAGGAAGGUAGAAUUCCCGGUGUAGCGGUGAAAUGCGUAGAGAUCGGGAGGAAUACCAGUGGCGAAGGCGGCCUUCUGGACUGACACUGACGCUGAGGUGCGAAAGCGUGGGUAGCAAACAGGAUUAGAUAACCCGGUAGUC
rnacentral:rRNA from 1 species